rnacentral:rRNA from 1 species
AGUGAACGCUGGCGGUAGGCCUAACACAUGCAAGUCGAACGGCAGCACAGUAAGAGCUUGCUCUUACGGGUGGCGAGUGGCGGACGGGUGAGGAAUACAUCGGAAUCUACUUUUUCGUGGGGGAUAACGUAGGGAAACUAACGCUAAUACCGCAUACGACCUACGGGUGAAAGCAGGGGAUCUUCGGACCUUGCGCGAUUGAAUGAGCCGAUGUCGGAUUAGCUAGUUGGCGGGGUAAAGGCCCACCAAGGCGACGAUCCGUAGCUGGUCUGAGAGGAUGACCAGCCACACUGGAACUGAGACACGGUCCAGACUCCUACGGGAGGCAGCAGUGGGGAAUAUUGGACAAUGGGCGCAAGCCUGAUCCAGCCAUACCGCGUGGGUGAAGAAGGCCUUCGGGUUGUAAAGCCCUUUUGUCGGGAAAGAAAAGCAGCAGGUUAAUACCCCGCUGUUCUGACGGUACCCAAAGAAUAAGCACCGGCUAACUUCGUG